rnacentral:rRNA from 1 species
UUGAACGCUGGCGGCAUGCUUUACACAUGCAAGUCGAACGGCAGCACGAAAGAGCUUGCUCUUUUGGUGGCGAGUGGCGAACGGGUGAGUAAUGCAUCGGAACGUACCGAGUAAUGGGGGAUAACUGUCCGAAAGGAUAGCUAAUACCGCAUACGCUUUGAGAAGGAAAGUGGGGGCUCUUCGGACCUCACGUUAUUCGAGCGGCCGAUGUCUGAUUAGCUAGUUGGUGGGGUAAAGGCCUACCAAGGCGACGAUCAGUAGCGGGUCUGAGAGGAUGAUCUGCCACACUGGGACUGAGACACGGCCCAGACUCCUACGGGAGGCAGCAGUGGGGAAUUUUGGACAAUGGGCGCAAGCCUGAUCCAGCCAUGCCGCGUGUCUGAAGAAGGCCUUCGGGUUGUAAAGGACUUUUGUUAGGGAAGAAAAGGAUAGUGUUAAUACCAUUAUCUGCUGACGGUACCUAAAGAAUAAGCACCGGCUAACUACGUG